rnacentral:rRNA from 1 species
UACGAAGGGGGCUAGCGUUGCUCGGAAUCACUGGGCGUAAAGCGCACGUAGGCGGCUUUCUAAGUCAGGGGUGAAAUCCUGGAGCUCAACUCCAGAACUGCCUUUGAUACUGGAGAGCUUGAGUCCGGGAGAGGUGAGUGGAACUCCGAGUGUAGAGGUGAAAUUCGUAGAUAUUCGGAAGAACACCAGUGGCGAAGGCGGCUCACUGGCCCGGUACUGACGCUGAUGAGCGAAAGCCAGGGGAGCAAACGGG